GCCUGUUCUCAUCUGCACAGGAUCUGUGAGAGCUUGGACAAGCCCGGGGCUGGAGGCUGGAGGGAGCAGGAGGAAACCUUCAGUGCUGGGCAGAAGGAAGCCUGUGGGGAGAGGCAGAACCAGCUUUGCAUGGGAACAACUCAUCCAAGGAGAGGAUCCAAAGGAGCAGGGAAUGCUGGUUUUAAUCUGCUUCCAUGGGCUGAAAUGACUCCUGUGUUCAAGCUGGCAUUACCGACAGGGAUACAACUGCAGUUUGGGUAUCAGCUCUCUGGGACCUGCAACCUGCCUGGCAAGGAAACAUCAUCAGCCCUCUUAUCUGCUCCUUGCCUGAAUUCUGCCUGGAUUUCUGACUGGUGAGGCUUAUUGGAAGCAGCAUCCCUGUGAGCAGGAGAGCAGCUGCUCU
rnacentral:lncRNA from 1 species